rnacentral:rRNA from 1 species
CGCUGGCGGCAUGCCUAACACAUGCAAGUCGAACGGGGGUAGCAAUACCCUAGUGGCGAACGGGUGAGUAACACAUAAGCAAUCUGCCCUUCACAGGGGGAUAACAGCGGGAAACUGCUGCUAAUACCGCAUAAGACCACGGUACCGCAUGGUACAGGGGUAAAAACGAAUCAGUGGUGAAGGAUGAGCUUAUGUCCCAUUAGCUAGUUGGUGGGAUAACAGCCCACCAAGGCGACGAUGGGUAGCCGACCUGAGAGGGUGAUCGGCCACACUGGAACUGAGACACGGUCCAGACUCCUACGGGAGGCAGCAGUGGGGAAUAUUGGGCAAUGGAGGAAAAACCUCUUACCCAGCAAUGCCGCGUGAGUGAAGAAGGUCUUCGGAUUGUAAAGCUCUUUGAUUGGGGACGAAGAAAGUGACGGUACCCAAAGAACAAGCCCCGGCUAACUACGUGCCAGCCGCAGC